AUUUACAAUAUCAAAUCCAGACUAAUCAAAAAAGAAAAGUAGACUAAGUGAGGACGAGUUAGAAAAACGGGUUCAUUUCUCCUAUGUUUAUGUUUACACGUUUUGUUCAGACUGCUUUACACCCCAAUCCAGUGGGUGGCGGUAAUGCCCCCAUUAGACCCCUUUCACUGACGUCACCCGAAACCGGAAGUAAACAAACCCUGCGCCACAUUGGAAGACCAACAAACUCGUGAUUUGGGGGAAAUAAAGGCAGCACGCGGUAUGUGAACCCACGAGGCACUUGGUUCAUCAUAAACCUACAAUGGUAAACUUUUGUGCUGUGUUAGGGUGUUCUAACAAAGCUGAUGGGAAAGGUGAAAAGAAGUCUUUCUACAGAAUACCAGCUGUGAUUGAGACACAAGCAAACCAAGGAGCUUUCUGCCAGGAGAUAGAGAGAGGAUUUAGCUGCUUUAUGCAGAGCGGAUCUGAAUACUUCAAGUCUAUUUUGUUACUGGUCUGCGCCGCAGGAGGAAUAGGCCACAAUUAUAAAUAAAUCAUAAAAUGUUUCUAAGAA